rnacentral:tRNA from 1 species
AGCCCCGGUAGCUCAGUUGGUUAGAGCGUCGCCUUGGUAAGGCGAAGGUCGCGGGUUCGAAUCCCGCCCGAGGCUU